CUGGGGGUCCCUGGGUGUGGUGAGGGUGGGUCAGCUGCACUUUCGUUGAUGCGGGUUGUCAUCCCUUGACGGUGGCCUUGGGCUGUGGGUCCAAAGUUGCUUGGUCUCCCAGGCAGUGUCUGACCUGGGAUGGGAGCCUGGGGGCUGCUGCCCCAUCCCACAUCCAUCCCCACAGCCCCUGCUCCAGCAGUGUCCCCAUGGACAGCCUUGCUUAUGGAGUGGCCGCUCUGUGUUUUCUUCAGAAAAAGGAAAAAAAGUUCCCUUUCUUUACUGCUUAGCUCAUUCUUAAACAUUUAUAUUAGGGGGGUUUGCGGGGAGGGGAAAUAAUUGUGUAAUGUCUUAGGAGCAGGGGAGCAUUCCAAAAGCAUGACUGCGGGGCCUUUUCCAGCACUAGCACUCUGGCAGCCACGUCUCUCAGUGGCCGCCAACCUCCCUAAACCCAGCCCCAGCCUUCCCACCCCUCCGGGAGAACGGGACUGUGAUCCCUGGCUUGCAUCUGUGUGGAGUGGGCUGCGAGCAGGGGCUUGGCUGAGCCCCCUCAAGCUAAUAUCCCUGGGAAAGUGUUCCAGUUGGGAAACUGGACACUAGAGGCAGUGGUGUGGCUGGCUGCGUAUCAUGGGGACUAGUUGCGUUUUGUUUCUAUUUUGCCAAGUGCUUUUGGUGUCCAAACAGUUUCAGUUUAUGUCCAGCUCCUCCUCCUCAGCUCAGGUAGACACUGCAUGAGAUUUUAUGGACUUCUGCUUGAAUCCAGGUUCCUGACAGCUACAGCUUCUCCAGGGAAAUAUGUAAGUGAAAAUAAGCCAAGUCACUAUCUUGCUACAGGUUAUCAGGAACCUUUAACCAGGGUUACCUUCCGACUUGCUGUUUGCACUGGAGAGGCGCACUGACAUGAAAAUCACUCCAGGAGCUCAGCUGGGGGACGGCUCUGAUCCAGACCUUGUCAGGAACAGAGUUGGGCUUCGCUGGACAAACAGUGGGAUGUGGCUCCAGUGCCAGACCAGUGCUGGGCACCCUCCUGCUCUCAGCCCCAGCUGCUGGAAAACACUGCUGAUGUUCUGCCAGUCCAUGGAAGGAGAUCCUGAAGAGUCAGAGAAGAAACUACAAAACCAUAAAUUAACGUUGCUAACAGAAAAGUGUAAUCCUAUUGACUUCAGUGAGACUUAAAAGCAAACAGUUAUGUUAACUAUUAAUUGUUAUAACUAAGAAGAUCAGAUCAGAAGCCCAACCUGUGCUUUAUGAAGAAAAUUAAAGCUUCUACAAAAGUUACUAAAAUGAUGACAUGCUCCCAUUAUGGCUCUUUACAGAUCAUUACUUAUUGUCAAUGUUGUUCAAGUUUGCUACCAAAAUACAAAUGAUAGCUUUCUAUAAAACUGUGCAUGUUAGUUAACCUCAUUAAAUCCUAAAGGAUUAGUCAGCUGUUCCUCAAAGUUAUGUGGCUUGGAAAGUGAUUUUCUAAUAUGCAAACUUCAAAGGAAUUUUGAAAUCCUGCAGCGUAAGCGAGACAGACAAAUGUUAAUCCACUGGAGUGCUGCUUAAUGGCCUGUUUAAUUUUUGUAUUGCUUGGUCUCUGUAAGCAGCUGGACAUGAAGGCUGCUUGCAAUUCAGCUUCCUCUUGAAUCACCCCACUCAUGGAACAUGGAUUCCUCUUCCACAUGGAUGACAGUGCUUGCAGGUAUGGCCACGUUCCCGUGUCCUUUCCCCAACCUACAGCUAUGCACGGACACAAACCCACCUGGGGAGGGACUCCCCAAGCUCACUGGUGCGUGAUCACAGACUCCACAAAUGGUUUGGAAGGGACCUAAAAACUCAUCUCAUUCUAAAUCCCCUGCCACGGGCAAGAACCUCUUACCACUAUCUCAGGUUCAACCACGGGAUUAUCCACGUACAACCUGGACUUGGACACUUCCAGAGAUGGGGCAGCCACAGCUUCUCUGGGCCGCCUGUGCCAGGGCCUCAGCACCCUCACAGGGAAGAACUACUUCCUAAUACCUAACCUAAUUGUUUCCUGUUUUAGUUAGUGUUAGGGAGUGCAGGGAGUUUGUGCCUGCCCAGUGUAUCAUGCAGAAUUGGGAACCCACUAUCACACAGGCUUGGUGGGGACUACUCUGACUCAAAUAAAUAAUGCUAUUAACUGUGAAGUAGUGAAGGA
ensembl:lncRNA